CGACCGCGUGGAGGAUGAAGUCCCUUGGGACGGUAAACUCCUUUCGACCAAGACGAUAAUGACGGUACUGGUGGAAGAAGCACCGGCUAACUCUGUGC
rnacentral:rRNA from 1 species